rnacentral:rRNA from 1 species
ACUUAUAUUCUGUAGCAAGGUUAACCGAAUAGGGGAGCCGAAGGGAAACCGAGUCUUAACUGGGCGUUAAGUUGCAGGGUAUAGACCCGAAACCCGGUGAUCUAGCCAUGGGCAGGUUGAAGGUUGGGUAACACUAACUGGAGGACCGAACCGACUAAUGUUGAAAAAUUAGCGGAUGACUUGUGGCUGGGGGUGAAAGGCCAAUCAAACCGGGAGAUAGCUGGUUCUCCCCGAAAGCUAUUUAGGUAGCGCCUCGUGAAUUCAUCUCCGGGGGUAGAGCACUGUUUCGGCAAGGGGGUCAUCCCGACUUACCAACCCGAUGCAAACUGCGAAUACCGGAGAAUGUUAUCACGGGAGACACACGGCGGGUGCUAACGUCCGUCGUGAAGAGGGAAACAACCCAGACCGCCAGCUAAGGUCCCAAAGUCAUGGUUAAGUGGGAAACGAUGUGGGAAGGCCCAGACAGCCAGGAUGUUGGCUUAGAAGCAGCCAUCAUUUAAAGAAAGCGUAAUAGCUCACUGGUCGAGUCGGCCUGCGCGGAAGAUGUAACGGGGCUAAACCAUG